ACAGCAGUUGUAAAGUGGGCAUCAAGUCAACAUCACACUGUGGCUCUGGAUUGUUGUACAUAAUUACACGGUGCUCCACGGCUACUCAGAGCUUGUUGAAGGAGAAUAAAGAUGACAAAUACUGACACUGGAGAAAAGUAAAGUAACUCCCUGAGCGUGGUAAUAGAUUAACAAUUAAAAAGAUCAACAACUACAUUAAGCAUGGCUGCCCUCGGUGUGCACUGCAGGCACAUUAUCACAGCUCAUAAUGGUGGUGUGUGUGUGUGUGUGUGUGUGUCCGCUCUUCUGUGUUUAACUUGUUUUGCCCUCACAUGAUGAAUGGCACAGGAACAGACUGAGAUAUGCACGUGCACACGUACGUGUACACACACACACACACACACACACACACACACACCCUCUCUCUCAGGGAACUCGGACCUGCUGAAAACACUCAGAUACAGAAUUCCGACCGUCCACGGAGGCACAAUUGCUCCAGAGGAGGAGGUGAGGCAGCUAUGAUGCUGCUAAUUAUCUCCUAUUGUUAUUCAGAUUCCCUAAAGCAGGCAGCGGUGUCGCGCUCUUAACCCCUUUUGCUCAGCAGUCCUUUCGUCAGGAGACAGUCUCAUGUCCGCUGGUGGACGCCCACAGAAUAGUGAUAAUUACACCGUUUAGCUUCGCCUUCAAGGCCUGACACUCGCAAGACGUGUUUACCAGAGUGCGCCAUGGCAACCUGUCAGCCGCUCAACGUCUUCAUGGACUCAGGUCAGAGGAACGCAGGCUUUGGUUCGUGACCUCCUGGAAGCUUUGGAUAACACUCAUACACAACGUCCAGAGAUUCACUCCUGUUGUAUACGAAGCUGCAGGUUUCUGACGCACCAUCGUUGACCGGCAUUUUAGUUACUUUAGACUCCAUAACAGAAGGGGAAGUAGUGUUAUUUUCAACACAAUGUAUUAUCUUACUAACUUUAUUCUUCAUUUAUGUCACGGCUAUAAAACAAAAGUAUUUGUGUCUGUCUCUCUCUCUGGUGUUGGUGUUGAAGGUUGCAGACCCCAGGUCUCGACUACAGGCUGCCACCACGUUCACGUCAGGUGCUGGUUUUGCCUAAAUCUUAUGGGGUAAAAUGAUUUCCUAUUAGGCAGGCUGGAUAUACUAGGAUGUGCUGGGCAGCUUAGCGUCACCAGGCACAUCCAGCGCUCACAUUCUACAGUGCCAGGAAUUGGGACAUGCCUCGGGCUGCGCUGUGACAAAUUUUGACAACAAGCUGACAAUUUAAUCAGCUGCAUUCAGCUGAAACCCUUAAAUUGAGACAAAGGUGAUGUUGGCUGCUGUCAGCCAUUUUUUUCACUCUGCAUAUUCUCUUCCUGUGGGUUUUUUAAGGGUCCUUGUUCUGUGUAGAACACUGACUGCAUGUCAGUUCCUCGUACGACUACACUUCAAAAAAGCUGACCCGUCUCUUUUAAAUUAAAAAGAGAGUUCCAUUUGAUAAUUGCUGACACCGCACUUUCUGCCCCUCUUUCAUUUAUCGAUCAGGGGUUGAUAGAAACACCGCCACAGUGAUUAGGCAGGCGGAGCUGUGCUAACGUACGAUAUCGAACAGCGGGGGGGCGACCAGCAUGGGGCGCACAGAGGUUAUCUGUGGCCCGGUGCUCACUCCCAACAACCACCAGAGCUCUUAAUUAAUGGAAGAUGAAUACAAGAUGCAGGUUAUGACUUUAGCUAAUUAGGGAAGCGUUAAAUAGAGAGAGACACGGCGGAGCUGCUGGAGUUCCGCGGAGGCUGGACAUGGAGAAUCAAUGGUCAAGGAAGGAAGGGAGCAUGUAGGCAAUUUGCCAGUUAAUGGGUUCCCAAUAUCAGCUGAGGACGGUGGAGUGUGGCGGCGUGUGCGUACCGACUGUUUUACAUGUAUUGACAAACACAAGACCUCUAAGGACAACGCCGGGAGUGGAGUAAAUAUAAACGCUGUGAGACUAAAGAAAUACAAGCCAUCGAUUACCACCAACCUUUCUUUAAAUAUUUAACUAAAAUCUGAAAAAGAGAGAAUUGGAGAGAAAUGCUUUUCUGUGAAUUUGUUGUUGUGAAAUAAAUGUAAACAUUCCAAGUAAUGUUUUAAAAGUAGAGUUUGGCUAAAGGGAAAGUUUAUGUUUUUAUAAGUGCAGUGUUUGAGAUGCUAAUGCCUUGAUGCAGGUUUGCAUAAAUGAAUGUGGAACAGAAAAUGUUACAGCGCAUACAUUACAGAGUACACAGUACUGUAUAUUUAUACACUGUGUUUUUCCCCUCAGCCUGGGUUUGUCAUUUAAAUGUUGGGCUACCAAACAAAAAAUUAAAUGUAAUUAGUCCCGAUUAUUCAAGAUAAACGACAUUCUUAAAUAAACAGCUGUUUUAAUUUGUGACUAAUCCUAAUGAUGUAAUGAUUAAUAUGAAAAAUGUCAAGAAACAAAAAUCAAAAUUUAGCUCCAUAGAGUUGGUGGAUUUUUCACUUUUACUGUGUAUCUUGACAUUGACUUACAGAACUACAGAAGAGUUGCUUUUAAAACUGCUGAGAUCGUUGUAGCCUCUACAAACACAUGCCUUACGUUGAGUUGGUAUUUUAAGCUUGAGCUGCAGUAAAAA